UACAGAGGGGGCAAGCGUUGUUCGGAAUCACUGGGCGUAAAGGGCGCGUAGGCGGCCCGCGCAAGCGUGCGGUGAAAGCCCGGGGCUCAACCCCGGGUCGGCCGUGCGGACUGCGGGGCUCGAGCACUGUAGGGGCAGAUGGAAUUCCGGGUGUAGCGGUGGAAUGCGUAGAGAUCCGGAAGAACACCGGUGGCGAAGGCGGUCUGCUGGGCAGUAGCUGACGCUGAGGCGCGACAGCGUGGGGAGCAAACAGG
rnacentral:rRNA from 1 species